CCAGACUCCUACGGGAGGCAGCAGUGAGGAAUAUUGGUCAAUGGCCGGAAGGCUGAACCAGCCAAGCCGCGUGAGGGAGGAAGGCGCAGAGCGUCGCAGACCUCUUUUGCCGGGGGACAAAAGGCCGGACUCGUCCGGUCCUGAGGGUACCCGGAGAAAAAGCAUCGGCUAACUCCGUGCCAGCAGCCGCGGUAAUACGUAGGGGGCAAGCGUUGUUCGGAAUGACUGGGCGUAAAGGGUGCGUAGGCGGUGUAGCAAGUUAGAAGUGAAAUACCUAGAGCUUAACUCAGGUGCUGCUUCUAAAACUGCUAUACUUGAGUGCAGUAGAGGAAAGUGGAAUUCCUAGUGUAGCGAUGGAAUGCGUAGAUAUUAGGAGGAACAUCAGUGGCGAAGGCGACUAUCUGGCACAUAACUGACGCUGAGGAGCGAAAGCGUGGGUAGCAAACAGGAUUAGAUACCCCCGUAA
rnacentral:rRNA from 1 species